CGGACGGGUGAGUAAUGUCUGGGAAACUGCCCGAUGGAGGGGGAUAACUACUGGAAACGGUAGCUAAUACCGCAUAACGUCGCAAGACCAAGGAGGGGGACCUUAGGGCCUCUUGCCAUCGGAUGUGCCCAGAUGGGAUUAGCUAGUAGGUGGGGUAAUGGCUCACCUAGGCGACGAUCCCUAGCUGGUCUGAGAGGAUGACCAGCCACACUGGAACUGAGACACGGUCCAG
rnacentral:rRNA from 1 species